GGGGGCGACCGGUUUCGACAUGUUACGUGACUGUUGCUCUGCAGGUCGUGGUCUCCUGAUCCACGUUAAAUAACAGGUAUGUCAAAAUUAAUUGACAAAUCUAACUCUGGCCGUUUGGCCAUGGCAGCAUAAACAUAAGUCUGCCUGCCUCGCUGCUUGACUCCUUCUAGAGCAGCCCAGGUAUCAUUUUUAGAAGGAUGCUGCGUUUGGUGUAGCUGGUAUACAAGCGCUUAAGACUAAACCCGCACUUGUGCAAUUUGUGUGUCAGCCACGUUUUUGCACUCGUAUUAAUUGUUGACUAAGCUUGUAGAGGAGUUUCAGGUAUGUAGUAUGGACCGGAGUUCGAUUCUCCGCGCCUCCACCA
rnacentral:tmRNA from 1 species